UUGGGCUGCACGGUUGUGGGGUGGCUCGCUCGGCAAAGUUUCGUCUCGAACAUUGCCUCUUUCCGCCCUGAACCUGGCGCUAGCGCUUCAGCAGCGAAGAACACUCAGGCAGGAAGUGAAAUAAGUCUCAAAAUGACGUACGUAAGGUCUCGGAGACGAGGAUGAGCUCAUUCAAGAUGGUUUCCUGUCCAGGCUCAGGCUGAGAUUUGAAGAACAGCUACUUUGAGAUAUUGGAAGGCUGCUGAAUCUGUGGAACUAUACCCCAGCAAGUACUGGCAUCCUCAGGAGAGGUGGGACAAAACUGAGAUGGUGUUACUGCAUGUACCAUGGGAUUUAAAAGCAGAACCAUGUUCUCACAGGCAGACAUUGGUCUAAUUGUUAACUGUUUGUAAA